GGGUGAUUAGCUCAGUUGGUAGAGCGCUUCGUUUACACCGAAGAUGUCGGCGGUUCGAGUCCGUCAUCACCCACCA
rnacentral:tRNA from 8 species